GAUCAUGGCUCAGAUUGAACGCUGGCGGCAUGCCUUACACAUGCAAGUCGAACGGUAACGCGGGGCAACCUGGCGACGAGUGGCGAACGGGUGAGUAAUAUAUCGGAACGUGCCCAAUAGUGGGGGAUAGCCCGGCGAAAGCCGGAUUAAUACCGCAUGAGACCUGAGGGUGAAAGCGGGGGAUCGCAAGACCUCGCGCUACUGGAGCGGCCGAUAUCAGAUUAGGUAGUUGGUGGGGUAAAGGCCUACCAAGCCGACGAUCUGUAGCUGGUCUGAGAGGACGACCAGCCACACUGGGACUGAGACACGGCCCAGACUCCUACGGGAGGCAGCAGUGGGGAAUUUUGGACAAUGGACGCAAGUCUGAUCCAGCAAUGCCGCGUGCAGGACGAAGGCCUUCGGGUUGUAAACUGCUUUUGUACAGAACGAAAAGGCUCUGGUUAAUACCUGGGGCUCAUGACGGUACUGUAAGAAUAAGCACCGGCUAACUACGUG
rnacentral:rRNA from 1 species